rnacentral:rRNA from 1 species
AGUGAACGCUGGCGGUAGGCCUAACACAUGCAAGUCGAACGGCAGCACAGUAAGAGCUUGCUCUUACGGGUGGCGAGUGGCGGACGGGUGAGGAAUACAUCGGAAUCUACUUUUUCGUGGGGGAUAACGUAGGGAAACUUACGCUAAUACCGCAUACGACCUACGGGUGAAAGCAGGGGAUCUUCGGACCUUGCGCGAUUGAAUGAGCCGAUGUCGGAUUAGCUAGUUGGCGGGGUAAAGGCCCACCAAGGCGGCGAUCCGUAGCUGGUCUGAGGGGAUGAUAAGCCACACGGGAACUGGGACACGGUCCAGACGCCUGCGGGAGGCACCAGUGGGGAAUAUUGGACAAUGGGGGCAAGCCUGAUCCAGCGAUACCGCGUGGGUGAAGAAGGCCUUCGGGUUGUAAAGCCCUUUUGUUGGGAAAGAAAAGCAGCAGGUUAAUACCCCGCUGUUCUGACGGUACCCAAAGAAUAAGCACCGGCUAACUUCGUG